GCACUGAUGGGGUAGUGGUAACCUGGGUCGUUGCCAUCGACCCGCCGGGGGUUCAAUUCCCCCUCAGUGCA
rfam:Heterobasidion irregulare TC 32-1 unplaced genomic scaffold scaffold_04, whole genome shotgun sequence.